AGGAUUUUAGUUAAUUAAUUAACAUUUAAAUUGCAUUUAAAAAUUAUAUAAAUUAAAAAUAUAUAAAUCUUA
rnacentral:tRNA from 1 species